rnacentral:rRNA from 1 species
UACGUAGGGUGCAAGCGUUGUCCGGAUUUAUUGGGCGUAAAGGGUGCGUAGGCGGUUUGGCAAGUCUGAUGUGAAAUCUAUGGGCUCAACCCAUAGUCUGCAUCAGAAACUGCCGGGCUUGAGUAUGGGAGAGGUGAGUGGAAUUUCCGGUGUAGCGGUGAAAUGCGUAGAUAUCGGAAGGAACACCUGUGGCGAAAGCGGCUCACUGGACCAUAACUGACGCUGAUGCACGAAAGCUAGGGGAGCAAACAGG